GACGAACGCUGGCGGCGUGCCUAAUACAUGCAAGUCGAACGAACUCUGGUAUUGAUUGGUGCUUGCAUCAUGAUUUACAUUUGAGUGAGUGGCGAACUGGUGAGUAACACGUGGGAAACCUGCCCAGAAGCGGGGGAUAACACCUGGAAACAGAUGCUAAUACCGCAUAACAACUUGGACCGCAUGGUCCGAGUUUGAAAGAUGGCUUCGGCUAUCACUUUUGGAUGGUCCCGCGGCGUAUUAGCUAGAUGGUGGGGUAACGGCUCACCAUGGCAAUGAUACGUAGCCGACCUGAGAGGGUAAUCGGCCACAUUGGGACUGAGACAUGGCCCAAACUCCUACGGGAGGCAGCAGUAGGGAAUCUUCCACAAUGGACGAAAGUCUGAUGGAGCAACGCCGCGUGAGUGAAGAAGGGUUUCGGCUCGUAAAACUCUGUUGUUAAAGAAGAACAUAUCUGAGAGUAACUGUUCAGGUAUUGACGGUAUUUAACCAGAAAGCCACGGCUAACUACGUGCCAGCAGCCGCGGUAAUACGUAGGUGGCAAGCGUUGUCCGGAUUUAUUGGGCGUAAAGCGAGCGCAGGCGGUUUUUUAAGUCUGAUGUGAAAGCCUUCGGCUCAACCGAAGAAGUGCAUCGGAAACUGGGAAACUUGAGUGCAGAAGAGGACAGUGGAACUCCAUGUGUAGCGGUGAAAUGCGUAGAUAUAUGGAAGAACACCAGUGGCGAAGGCGGCUGUCUGGUCUGUAACUGACGCUGAGGCUCGAAAGUAUGGGUAGCAAACAGGAUUAGAUACCCUGGUAGUCCAUACCGUAAACGAUGAAUGCUAAGUGUUGGAGGGUUUCCGCCCUUCAGUGCUGCAGCUAACGCAUUAAGCAUUCCGCCUGGGGAGUACGGCCGCAAGGCUGAAACUCAAAGGAAUUGACGGGGGCCCGCACAAGCGGUGGAGCAUGUGGUUUAAUUCGAAGCUACGCGAAGAACCUUACCAGGUCUUGACAUACUAUGCAAAUCUAAGAGAUUAGACGUUCCCUUCGGGGACAUGGAUACAGGUGGUGCAUGGUUGUCGUCAGCUCGUGUCGUGAGAUGUUGGGUUAAGUCCCGCAACGAGCGCAACCCUUAUUAUCAGUUGCCAGCAUUAAGUUGGGCACUCUGGUGAGACUGCCGGUGACAAACCGGAGGAAGGUGGGGAUGACGUCAAAUCAUCAUGCCCCUUAUGACCUGGGCUACACACGUGCUACAAUGGAUGGUACAACGAGUUGCGAACUCGCGAGAGUAAGCUAAUCUCUUAAAGCCAUUCUCAGUUCGGAUUGUAGGCUGCAACUCGCCUACAUGAAGUCGGAAUCGCUAGUAAUCGCGGAUCAGCAUGCCGCGGUGAAUACGUUCCCGGGCCUUGUACACACCGCCCGUCACACCAUGAGAGUUUGUAACACCCAAAGUCGGUGGGGUAACCUUUUAGGAACCAGCCGCCUAAGGUGGGACAGAUGAUUAGGGUG
rnacentral:rRNA from 2 species